AGAGUUUGAUCAUGGCUCAGAACGAACGCUGGCGGCAGGCUUAACACAUGCAAGUCGAACGGUUGUAGCAAUACAGCAGUGGCAGACGGUGAGUAACACGUGGGAACCUUCCUAGGGGUACGGAACAACUCAGGGAAACUUGAGCUAAUACCGUAUACGUCCGUGAGGAGAAAGAUUUAUCGCCCUUAGACGGGCCCGCGUCGGAUUAGCUAGUUGUGGGGUAACGGCCUACCAAGGCGACGAUCCGUAGCUGAUCUUAGAGGAUGAUCAGCCACACUGGGACUGAGACACGGCCCAGACUCCUACGGGAGGCAGCAGUGGGGAAUCUUGGACAAUGGGCGCAAGCCUGAUCCAGCCAUGCCGCGUGAGUGAAGAAGGUCUUCGGAUUGUAAAGCUCUUUUGCCAGGGACGAUAAUGACGGUACCUGGAGAAUAAGCCCCGGCAAACUUCGUG
rnacentral:rRNA from 1 species